UAACACAUGCAGUCGAGCGGAACGAGUUAUCUGAACCUUCGGGGGACGAUAACGGCGUCGAGCGGCGGACGGGUGAGUAAUGCCUAGGAAAUUGCCCUGGUGUGGGGGAUAACCAUUGGAAACGAUGGCUAAUACCGCAUAAUACCUUCGGGUCAAAGAGGGGGACCUUCGGGCCUCUCGCGUCAGGAUAUGCCUAGGUGGGAUUAGCUAGUUGGUGAGGUAAUGGCUCACCAAGGCGACGAUCCCUAGCUGGUCUGAGAGGAUGAUCAGCCACACUGGAACUGAGACACGGUCCAGACUCCUACGGGAGGCAGCAGUGGGGAAUAUUGCACAAUGGGCGCAAGCCUGAUGCAGCCAUGCCGCGUGUGUGAAGAAGGCCUUCGGGUUGUAAAGCACUUUCAGUCGUGAGGAAGGUAGUGUAGUUAAUAGCUGCAUUAUUUGACGUUAGCGACAGAAGAAGCACCGGCUAACUCCGUGCCAGCAGCCGCGGUAAUACGGAGGGUGCGAGCGUUAAUCGGAAUUACUGGGCGUAAAGCGCAUGCAGGUGGUUUGUUAAGUCAGAUGUGAAAGCCCGGGGCUCAACCUCGGAAUAGCAUUUGAAACUGGCAGACUAGAGUACUGUAGAGGGGGGUAGAAUUUCAGGUGUAGCGGUGAAAUGCGUAGAGAUCUGAAGGAAUACCGGUGGCGAAGGCGGCCCCCUGGACAGAUACUGACACUCAGAUGCGAAAGCGUGGGGAGCAAACAGGAUUAGAUACCCUGGUAGUCCACGCCGUAAACGAUGUCUACUUGGAGGUUGUGGCCUUGAGCCGUGGCUUUCGGAGCUAACGCGUUAAGUAGACCGCCUGGGGAGUACGGUCGCAAGAUUAAAACUCAAAUGAAUUGACGGGGGCCCGCACAAGCGGUGGAGCAUGUGGUUUAAUUCGAUGCAACGCGAAGAACCUUACCUACUCUUGACAUCCAGAGAACUUUCCAGAGAUGGGAUU
rnacentral:rRNA from 1 species